rnacentral:rRNA from 1 species
AUGAACGCUGGCGGCGUGCCUAACACAUGCAAGUCGAGCGAAGCACUUACUUUAGAUUUCUUCGGAAUGACGAAGUUUGUGACUGAGCGGCGGACGGGUGAGUAACGCGUGGGCAACCUGCCCUGUACAGGGGGAUAACAGUUAGAAAUGACUGCUAAUACCGCAUAAGCCCACAGCUUCGCAUGAAGCAGUGGGAAAAACUCCGGUGGUACAGGAUGGGCCCGCGUCUGAUUAGCUAGUUGGUAAGGUAACGGCUUACCAAGGCGACGAUCAGUAGCCGACCUGAGAGGGUGACCGGCCACAUUGGGACUGAGACACGGCCCAAACUCCUACGGGAGGCAGCAGUGGGGAAUAUUGCACAAUGGGGGAAACCCUGAUGCAGCGACGCCGCGUGAGCGAUGAAGUAUUUCGGUAUGUAAAGCUCUAUCAGCAGGGAAGAAAGUGACGGUACCUGACUAAGAAGCCCCGGCUAACUACGUG